rnacentral:rRNA from 1 species
AUGGUGGGAGCAGACAGAAGUGACUGCUUUAGACACUUCAUUGAGAGGAUCAGGCAGAUAAUCCAAAGCUGGAUGGAAAAGCAACUCUCUGUAGGAGGGGGAUCUGCAACUUCGGGAAUAUGGUCUAAAUUAUGGAAGCUCACAAUCCCACGUAAAGUUUUCAUCUUUGGUUGGCGAUUGCUCCAUGGAAUUCUACCGCUAAAAGGCAUACUCACCAAUAGGCAUGUUGGGACAAUUGGUUCUUGCCCAAUUUGUCACCAGCAGUCACAGGACAUACGACAUCUUUUCUUCCAAUGUAUUCAUGCCCAACACAUGUGGGAGAAACUCGGCCUUAGCGAGUUCAUACAGGAGGCUAUAAGAGUUGGCCGGUCAGGGCGGCGCAUCACACAAAAUGAAUCGUGCCCACCCUUGAGGUGUAAGGAAGGAAUGGAGGCUACACCAGCAGCCAUUAGAGAUGAGAAAGUAAGACUUCUAGUUCUUGGGUGGACAAGCCUCCAGAUUGAAUAA